CGUUGCAAAGCGAGUUGCUUCUUAUGAUGUAAAACGAAAAUAAAAUUGAUGAAUAAAAAGUAAAAUGUACACAUAACGUUUUUGAAAGCCGUCAGAGCCGCAUAAUUUAUUGACUAUUAAAUUAUUUUCUCAUAUCUUUGUUUAAUUUAAAUUGCUUAAUUUUUUUUGCUCGUCUUGGUUCUAUUAAAAAAACUCCACUGCAGUGAAUUCAUUUCACUUUAAUUGAAGCGUCAAAAUUGGUUAGUGUGCGUGAAGUAGAGGUGGAAUCGAUGUAACAUCGAUGUUAUCGAUGUUGCUAAAAAUAUUUUUAACAUCGAUUGUUUUCUGCAAACAUCGAUUAUCGUCACCUGCAGCCGAGAAACAGAAAGCGUGUGAUUUUAUAGUGAACAAUAUAGGUGGUGUUGGUGGCAAAGUGCUUGCGUAAUGGACAAGUUCAGCAAAGCUGACCAAGUCAUUAGUGAGCGCAGGAGCUCUCUCAAACCAAAAAUAGUUAAUAUGUUGUUAUUUUUGAACAAAAACAGCUUCCUUUAUGAUCUCAAUCAAAUAAGUUAAAAUUAAGCGGCGAUAAUCGAUUGCAAUCGAUGUUUUCAUCCCAAAACAUCGACAACAUCUAUUGUGGCCAACAUCGAUGUUUUUCCAGCUCUAGCCUGAAGGACAUUUACAAUAGAGGUGGAGAAUUAUUGAUGGCACUAUCGGGACUAUCGAUGGUUGGCCACUAUCGACAUGCUCUCGAUAGCGGACAAUCGCUUUCGUCGAUAGUGAUCGAUAUUUUUUCAAAUUUCUUUGUAGAGUCGGGUCUUCAGCAAAGCAGGACAAAUCAUUUCAAAUAGGCGUACAAAAUUAUUGGUUAAAAUAAAUAUAUAAAUAGCAGUUAAGAUAAAGAUUGGAGAACCAAUUUCAUACUCUCAUACUUUAAAAAAAUAUGGAUUGUUUUAAAAACUAAUUAAAUUAUUUUCUUUUACUGCACUAUCAAUAGUUACUGACGAUAGAUUUUCCUUGCUAUCGUCGAUAGUUGAUAGUUUAUGGAAACUAUCAAUCACUAUGUAUGGCGCAGACUAUCGAUAGUUCUCCACAUCUAAUUUACAACUCCCAAUUCUGUAAUGCACUGUUUCCACAGCAA